rnacentral:rRNA from 1 species
CACGUAGGGCGCAAGCGUUGUUCGGAAUUAUUGGGCGUAAAGAGCUCGUAGGCGGUCUGUCGCGUCUGCUGUGAAAACUCGGGGCUUAACCCCGGGCCUGCAGUGGGUACGGGCAGACUAGAGUGCGGUAGGGGAGACUGGAAUUCCUGGUGUAGCGGUGAAAUGCGCAGAUAUCGGGAGGAACACCGGUGGCGAAGGCGGUUCUCUGGGCCUGACCUGGACGCUGAGGAGCGAAAGCCGUGGGGAGCGAACAGG